rnacentral:lncRNA from 1 species
CGCAGCUUUAUACCAAUUUAAAAAAAAACACUGAAUAGCCUUAUCCAAACAUUGCAUCAGCCACCUUGUCUUUAAGCAAAGUCACUUGUUUCUAGCAAAGGGGAAUAGAAGAAUAACAAAACCGGGCAAGACAAUCUAUUCCAAAAAGAAGGAUAUUGUAUGUGAGCAUAUAUCCAACAUAUUCAUCAACUUGUUGUUUCAUCGAG